rnacentral:rRNA from 1 species
UACGAACUGUGCAAACGUUAUUCGGAAUCACUGGGCUUAAAGGGCGCGUAGGCGGCUUGCCAAGUCCGGGGUGAAAGCCCCCAGCUCAACUGGGGAAGGGCCUCGGAUACUGGCGAGCUCGAGGGAGGUAGGGGUCGAGGGAACUUCUGGUGGAGCGGUGAAAUGCGUUGAUAUCAGAAGGAACGCCGGUGGCGAAAGCGCUCGACUGGAUCUCUACUGACGCUGAGGCGCGAAAGCUAGGGGAGCAAACGGG